rnacentral:lncRNA from 1 species
AAAAAAGACAGGAAAGAUCAUCCCCCUCUUGUGUUACUGCUCUGAUGCUUCCCACACUGUCCCAGUGCAAAGAAUCCUCCUUCAUUCAAUCCUCAGUUGAGGAGCUGAAGAACUUCCUGGAAAAAUCUCACAAGAGGAACCAAAGAGAAAUAGGAGGGGCCUCGCAGAAGAGCCAGAGGAAAGUCACCUUGCCUGGAAGAGUCACUGUAACUCAGCAUGUCACGUGAGACGGCCGGCCAAAGCCCCGAAUGAACAUCCCAGAUCCCCAGGACACAGAGGGUCAGAGAAGCCAACGGGAAAACCUAGGUGAAGACGGCCUGGCCCACGGGAGGGCUGGCAUUCAGUCUGAGACAUGGCACCAGCAAACUGUCCAAGACAAAUCCAGAUUUAGCCUGGCUCAUGUUUCUCAGGAAAGCGCUAAGCCAGUUAUUAAUAACAGCCCAGCGAGUCUCCUGAGCCACCUAGGAGCAGAUGGUGUUUUUCACAAAAGAGAGAGAUCAUCUCCUUGACUUUGGACUUCGCUUAUCAAACCCCUAAACAGAACCAAGGUUGCUAAGAGACCACCUGUUCUGAAUGCACUUUGUCCUAGGAAGAGCAGCCAGAGAGAAAACUGAGGCGCAGCAUUAUCUACCACUACCCGGAUUAAAUCAG